AUUCAUUUGCAAUGUUUAUAAGCAGGCGGCUCUCCUGGAAAUUCUCUCCCUGGGAGGCAUAUUUCCAAACUAUUUGCUAAGCAGACUCAUCUCUUACUGGGAAGGAAAUGAGCACAUCCUAUAUUACCUGGACUCAGGACACCUGGGCUGGUUUUUAUUACAAUAUCUGACACUGGCCUGCUGUUUGGCCUUGGGGAGGUGCCCAUGGUAUAAGCAACAAGACUGAGAUUCUUGGACCAUGAGCGUGAAUCCCAGUAAGACUGGCUCAACCUCGUCAUCCAGCUAAGUUGAAGAAGCUGAGCUGUGCAUUUCCAAUGGUUGGAUUCUACAGGGGACAGCUUCAGAACUGAGCUUCUGUACAUUCUGCAAAAGAUAGAUGCAGCCUCAUGCAAGCUUCUGUUCUGCCUUCCUGCAUGACCUUGGGUGAGGUGGACUGGUUUCCAGCUAUGCAGUCAUCAGUAUCAGUUGGGGCCUAGGAGCCUUGGUAUGACGUGGCACCUGUCUGCCAGCAUCACAACCAGAUCAACCAAAGUCCCUGACAUAGCAGAGGGAGCAGAGAUGGAGAACCUUAGUCAGGUUCAGCGUAGCAUCUGGAGAAAGGGAUAGAAAGCUGGGAACAACAACAACUGUACAGUGCGUAGUAUCCCUCCACCCUAGCAACUGUUCCUACUGAGGGGAUAGGGGAUACGUUCCUUUAGAAUCAUGUGAUGAUUCUGCAGCCUGUACUCACAGCAGUAGACCUGGAGGACUCAAUGAGGUUAUUUCAGUGAGUAAGAAUCACUUGCAU